GGCGCCGAGUGAUGCAAUCACGUAACCGACAGUUUCGAAUCUGGCCAAUGAUGUUCCUCGAUCAUCCAGCCGUGUUUGCACUGUCGGAGUCCCCGUCGCUCUCGCUGCGAGAAACGAAUGUAUCCGGCCGUGCUCCCGAAACUUUUGAGGAAUUCCAACAUUUUUAAGCGAUUCAUCGAGUGGAUGACUGCGUGCUGCAGCUGUGCUUUUCAUCUCCUGCGUGCGUACAAAACUGGAAUGCUGGAGGACUUCAGCUCAAGAAUGUCAUGCUGGACCACUACCAGAGCGUGCUUAAAGGAAUCAAUGCCUUGAUGAAGGUAUCACCGAAGUGCCCACCACCAGCUCUCUGCCUCAGAGCCAGUGAUGAUGGUCAAGAUUUUUCUAGCGGAUCUUGUCAUGUCAUGCUGAAAACUAAUCUACCCCGCACUUCGGUUACAACACUAUGACCUAUCGCGCUGUGAUGAUUGCUUGAAAGGAAUACAGUCUGGUAUGCUGUGUUGUUUUUCUUUUAAAAGAACUUCAGGUAUCCGUAAUAACAGGCCUUCCUAGCAAGAAAGCCAUAAGAAAAGGCAUCUUCUUGAUACAUUAAUAUUUCUCCUAAAGACAAGGGUACGAGUCACACUACAUGUGCCAUACUGCACUCUCAGAAAAAAGGGUGGACCUUUUAGGAGGUAAUAGCUGUCGCAUAUGUUGUGCCUAAAAGGUUGCAAAGUUCUACCUGCUACCUCACUCUCUGCCACGAAUAAUAGGGUUACCGCUUCUGAUUCGGUGAGAGAGGGGGGCGUGCACCUUUUUGUUGUAAUUUGGAUGGAUGAUAAUUUUUUUUACCAGCUUUUUACACCCCUUAUCAUGUUGGCUUAGGAGGUAACUAAGGAAGUUACCACCUUCUCACGCCUUUUUCCUUAGAUUGUGGUUCCCAAAUUGUCUCUAUGUUGUCCUCGUAUUAGCA